CCUACGGGUGGCUGCAGUGGGGAAUAUUGCGCAAUGGGCGAAAGCCUGACGCAGCGACGCCGCGUGAGGGAUGAAGGUCUUCGGAUCGUAAACCUCUGUCAGCAGGGAAGAACGGUCUCUCUGUUAAUCAGCAGUGAAUUGCCGGUACCUGCAUAGGAAGCACCGGCUAACUACGUGCCAGCAGCCGCGGUAAUACGGAGGGUGCGAGCGUUAAUCGGAAUUACUGGGCGUAAAGCGCUCGUAGGCGGGCUGGCAAGUCAAGGGUGAAAUCCCCGCGCUCAACGUGGGGUCUGCGUUUGAAACUGGUAAACUGGAGUGUGGGAGAGGCUAGUGGAAUUCCAGGUGUAGGAGUGAAAUCCGUAGAGAUCUGGAGGAACAUCAGUGGCGAAGGCGAAUAUCUGGCACAUAACUGACGCUGAGGAGCGAAAGCGUGGGUAGCAAACAGGAUUAGAUACCCUGGUAGUC
rnacentral:rRNA from 1 species